rnacentral:rRNA from 1 species
GUAGGGAAUCUUGCGCAAUGGGCGAAAGCCUGAUCCAGCCAUGCCGCGUGUGUGAAGAAGGUCUUCGGAUUGUAAAGCACUUUAAGUUGGGAGGAAGGGCAGUAAGUUAAUACCUUGCUGUUUUGACGUUACCGACAGAAUAAGCACCGGCUAACUUCGUGCCAGCAGCCGCGGUAAUACGAAGGGUGCAAGCGUUAAUCGGAAUUACUGGGCGUAACGCGCGCGUAGGUGGUUUUGUAAGUUGGAGGUGAAAUCCCCGGGCUCAACCUGGGAACUGCCUCCAAAACUGCAUGACUAGAGUACGGUAGAGGGUAGUGGAAUUUCCUGUGUAGCGGUGAAAUGCGUAGAUAUAGGAAGGAACACCAGUGGCGAAGGCGACUACCUGGACUGAUACUGACACUGAGGUGCGAAAGCGUGGGGAGCAAACAGGAUUAGAAACCCCUGUAGUCC